CAGAAAUUAGGAUUCAAGAUUUGCCUCAUUGAAAACCGGUCAGGAGUUCAUGUUCACAAUCAAGCAGUGACCCCUUCUACUACUUGAGGGAUUCAGCAAAGACCAUCAACGGUACAGUCAAAGUUGAACAUGAAAACAAGGCGCUCUGCCAGUGUGCGUGCAUGAUCCAAUAGCAUGUGUUUAAUAGUAGCCACUAUGAUGUGAAAUACUAGCAGCUUCCUCCAUUUAUGCCAGUAUUUGAUAUACUUACCAAAGUUUAAGGGCGCCAAUCUUAAGAAGACAUCCCGGUUUGUGAGAAAAUUUCU
rnacentral:rRNA from 1 species